CAGUCGAGCGAGCUUGCCUAGAUGAUUUUAGUGCUUGCACUAAAUGAAACUAGAUACAAGCGAGCGGCGGACGGGUGAGUAACACGUGGGUAACCUGCCCAAGAGACUGGGAUAACACCUGGAAACAGAUGCUAAUACCGGAUAACAACACUAGACGCAUGUCUAGAGUUUGAAAGAUGGUUCUGCUAUCACUCUUGGAUGGACCUGCGGUGCAUUAGCUAGUUGGUAAGGUAACGGCUUACCAAGGCAAUGAUGCAUAGCCGAGUUGAGAGACUGAUCGGCCACAUUGGGACUGAGACACGGCCCAAACUCCUACGGGAGGCAGCAGUAGGGAAUCUUCCACAAUGGACGAAAGUCUGAUGGAGCAACGCCACGUGAGUGAAGAAGGGUUUCGGCUCGUAAAGCUCUGUUGGUAGUGAAGAAAGAUAGAGGUAGUAACUGGCCUUUAUUUGACGGUAAUUACUUAGAAAGUCACGGCUAACUACGUGCCAGCAGCCGCGGUAAUACGUAGGUGGCAAGCGUUGUCCGGAUUUAUUGGGCGUAAAGCGAGUGCAGGCGGUUCAAUAAGUCUGAUGUGAAAGCCUUCGGCUCAACCGGAGAAUUGCAUCAGAAACUGUUGAACUUGAGUGCAGAAGAGGAGAGUGGAACUCCAUGUGUAGCGGUGGAAUGCGUAGAUAUAUGGAAGAACACCAGUGGCGAAGGCGGCUCUCUGGUCUGCAACUGACGCUGAGGCUCGAAAGCAUGGGUAGCGAACAGGAUUAGAUACCCUGGUAGUCCAUGCC
rnacentral:rRNA from 1 species